UACAGAGGUCUCAAGCGUUGUUCGGAUUCAUUGGGCGUAAAGGGUGCGUAGGCGGCGGGGCAAGUCUGGUGUGAAAUCCCGGGGCUCAACCUCGGAACUGCACUGGAUACUGCCUUGCUAGAGAUCUGGAGAGGAAACUGGAAUUUACGGUGUAGCAGUGAAAUGCGUAGAUAUCGUAAGGAAGGCCAGUGGCGAAGGCGAGUUCCUGGACAGUUACUGACGCUGAGGCACGAAGGCCAGGGGAGCGAACGG
rnacentral:rRNA from 1 species